rnacentral:lncRNA from 1 species
CCAUCUCACAAAUGCACCCUUUCAGAACUCCGACGUAAUGCCACCGUCCGCCGCCCGUUGGAAAUCGCCCACGGCGGCGGCCGUCGGUCAAACCCACUCAAAAUCACAUCAUGAACUCCCCUCAACCCCCUGGUUUCAAAUCCCCAACCAUCUUCCCUUGAGUCCCUUUGUAUCUCUCCAAAAAUCCGACCAAAAGUGAAAACCUUAGCGCCGCCACUUCCAAAUGCACCCAAAAUAACACCCCUUGACCUCCUCCAUCCCCUCUCCCCCAAUCUCUAGUUAGUUUCCCUCGAACCCCUCAGAACUUCUCGAAUAUGGAAUUAAAGAAAACCUUAAAAUCACAAACUCAAAUUCAGCGGGCCUUUUGGAGAUUUUAGGCUGUAAUGGCCUUUACUCGUGUGUUUUCACAUGAAAAAACACAAUUAAGGACCUUUCCUGUGAAGAAAUCGAAGGAGUCCUCAGAGUUUGCAAGUUUGCGUUACCGAUAUUUGGUAUUUUUGUAUGUGUUUUGGUUAUUCAUCGUUUGUUUAGUUUUCUAAUUUUAGUUUUCUGUUUCUGUUCCUUCUCCUCUUCGUAUUUUAUUUUUUUCUAUUCAUGCAUGAUUAAUUCAUAAUAUAUUUUUAUUAAUUAGUUUGUUUAACGUUCAUUUAACUCCCUGCAUGUUUUAAUCAGUAGCUUAGUUAGACUGGAAAAGUUACUUCAAUGGUUGGGUCAGUCUUUCAAAAUAGGAAUUUUGUUUAAUGUUAAUUGGACCCUAAAAAAUUAGAAGCAAAAAAACCAAUUAAAUAUUGGACUCUAGCCUAUUCAUAGGCCCAGGAAUGGUUCAAUCCAUUGGGUCCUUGGCCAGUCGACUCAUUAUAGUCCAAGGGUAAUUCUCAGGAGUCCUAAUGGGUAUUUUGGCUAAUGUAUUUAGAGAGUCUAUGAGUAACCACCUGAAGAAGCUUCUCAGAAGCUGCAAAAUAGCCUUGCUUGACCAACAAGGCAAAAAUUAAGGGAUUAAGUAGCAAAAAAAAAAUUGUCUAAGGUUUUCUAAGGUAAAAUGAAAAUUUGAAAAGGUUUAGAGUGUAAAACUUAACUCCUUUCUGCAGCCCUAAAACUUGGCCUAUAAAUACAUCCUUACGUGAAGCUCAAGAGAGAAUUAGGAGAUAAAAAUCUGAAAAAAUGAACCUUAGAAACUCAAAGAGAAAAACCCCAGAAAAAACAAACGGCUGAAAUUUUUCACUGUUCCAUUGAACUUUUUUUUUGAAGUUUUUAUUUCUCAAACACCUUCUGAUUCAUCUGGGUUUAGAUUGGAUUGAAUUUGAUUUUGUUAAAGAUUUGUUUAAAGGUUAUGGGGUACUGUUUGAUUAAAAUUGGGAUAUAGUUUGAUGUGCUUUUGGUUCAAAGUUGAUUUUGCUGGUUAUUUCCUGGUUGUUGAGUUUUUGCUGCUGCGCUGCUUGAUUACUGACCUUCAUUUGUUUUUCUUACGUUUCAUAUUCCAGUUUCAUGUUCCUAGAUUCAUCUCAUAUGAGGUUUGAUAUUGAAAUGAAAUGAAAUCCAGAGUUCCAAAUGUGGUUUCUGCAUAUUCAAAUCUAUUAGUUUAGUUUCAGUUGUUUUGUUGGAGUUAUUUGAUGUGUAGUAUGCUCAACAUAGGAGCUAUUACUCAACUUGCAUCUGUUCAAGUUAGUAUAGCCCUUGCACUAAUUUUACUUGCUUUUAAAAUUUUAUUGUUAUCGCUAGUUUUGGGACUAUUGAAGUAAGGAACUUGAUAAAAAUAUUGACCAUUAGCUAAGUUUUGUGAUUAAGCCAUGUUAGCUAAGUAUAUGGUAUUAUGGAACUGUCAAGUAACUGCAACAUCAUACUUCUUCAAACACCUGAGUUUUAGCUUUAAUCUUGGUUGAAAUAGGUGCUCUUGUUUGUAGGUAAUUUUGUAUUAAAUAGCUAUUAUGAUAAUUAUAAGUUAGAGGUGGAGGUGAAUGAUGUAUAAUCUAUUAUGUUUAAUUGUGGUAUAUCAUUAAAUGCAGAAUUGGUGGUCGUGUGAUAUUCAAUCAUGUAUUCAUGGUUGAUAUAAUCUAAUUUGCCUAUAAGUUUGUUUUAGUUUUCAUACAAAUUAGUUAAAUGUUUUGAUGUUGAUAAGAUGAGGUUUUAGAGCAUAGUAAUAUUUGGGUUAAUUUCUAUAGUUGGAUUAAUUUUAGCUCGCAUGGGAUUGACAUAGGAUUCAUAUUUUAACAUCUCCCUUUCCCUUGUUAG